rnacentral:rRNA from 1 species
UACGGGGGGGGCGAGCGUUAUUCGGAAUUAUUGGGCGUAAAGGGCGCGUAGGCGGCCUGGUAAGUCGAAGGUGAAAUCCCCGAGCUCAACUUGGGAACUGCCUUCGAUACUGCCGGGCUUGAGUCCGGGAGGGGAAAGUGGAAUUCCCAGUGUAGCGGUGAAAUGCGUAGAUAUUGGGAGGAACACCAGUGGCGAAGGCGGCUUUCUGGACCGGAUCUGACGCUGAGGCGCGAAAGCGUGGGUAGCAAACAGG